rnacentral:lncRNA from 1 species
AUGCACAGCUUCUCCGCGGUCAGCGGGCUGGUCUCUUUGAGUUUGGAGGCCAGGAACAUGCAGACAGCACCCAGGAGUUGCAGAUGGGACUUCGGAGUCGGGACCCCAGCCAAGAAACGGUCCAGGUAAUUCAUGGCCAGAGGGAAGACCUCUUCUUCGCACUUCUGUUCCUCACAGACCUAUAAUGGGAGUGGGAAAGGGUUGGGGGGCGGGGGUGGAGAGCAUAGCAUCAGCAAAAGAGAAAAAGAAUAAAAAAGCGUAAUCUAUCGAAACAAAAAAAAUUAAUUUUUUUUUGUGGGAGGGGGAGGGGACCAGAAUGCGUGAUAAGAAUAAAGAACAAAGAUGAGGAAACUGGAGUGAAUCAGAAUAGCCCAUCAGUGCUUUGGUAUUCCCAGGGAUCCUAUAAAAGGGGGUGAACUACAGCUCCAAAACGGGGAGUCGGAGAAGUGCGCAGCAGCCGCGGCAGCUCCGCGACGCUCCCUUUGGCUACUCCUUCGCGCACUCUAACUCACUCACUCUUUUUUGGAUUUCGUCAUCUUUUCAAAAAAUCAAUAAAAAUAUUCUGGAGGCUCCGGGGGUCCACUUCUUGGUCUCAUCCGGAUCCCCAGAUCCUCCUCUAUCAUUCCCGACAAUUGGAAAAAAUGUCUGGGGGGGUCCCUGCGGCCCAGGGGCCGCUUUUGGGGGGGCGGGUGAGGAGAGGUGGGGAAGAGAGGGGGAGGGAGGAGAGGAGGAAGAGCGCCGCAGCCUCGGCAGCUGGAGUCGGAGCAGGGGGGGAUGGUUUCAAAAAAUAAUUAAAAAUCGAGGAAAUAUCCUAGAAAAGCCCUUUUGGCGUGAAAACCCCAAAGAAGAGCCAGGCUUCCCGAAACAGAGGUUUCGGGUGCCAGAAAGGUCUGUAUUCCGACCCCUGGGGCUUUGGAUCCCGGGAGGAAACUUGAAGGGGUGAGCGCCGCGGCGGGAGUGUCCGGCUGCGGCCCACAAGGACAGAAACUAGGGAACGCGGUGACGAGCGAGGGGAAAGACGGGAGCAGAGAGCCCUGGAAAGAGGCACGGGGGGCUCCCACCUCUCCUUCAGGGGUGACCCGGUAUCCCCCCUACACACACCCCCUCCCCCCCUUCCUACCCCACCCAAAUCUCCGCACCGAGGAAGCUGGAAAACCAAACUAAGAAUCUACCAUAAAACCAACAGACUCCUCCUGAUCUCUACCUGUGCUGUCUGCCUCUCUAGUUCCGGACACUGAGAGCUGGUGCCCUGUGGCCACCUCAAGCUGGAACCCUGCAAGAUCACCAAGAAGACUGCAUGCCUCGCUCUAGCCUUCCUAAGGGAAAGUAGACUCCUGUUUUUGAGAGAAAUUACCUGAUUUCAAGAGAAACAUAAAGGACUUUUUUUCCCUUAACAUUCCACUCGUAAAAAUGAAGUUUGGAAGAACUUCUGCAAACUCUGAGUGUUUUGGUCAAUUGACCUUUUACUGUACUAAGCAAAUCUGAAGCCACAAAUACAUUGGGGAGGAAGGUAUACCCUUCACAAAAGAUCCGUCACUUAGCCAGAUACUCUGUUGCCAUGCUUCUUUAAAUAAAGCACAUUUCUGGU